UCUCUUGAUCACAAGGAGGCACGUAGAGUACAUUCUGCUGCAGAUGCAGGUGCACCACUUGGAAGUACCGAAUGCCAGAAUGAGCUCCUGCUUGACUCCUGCCACCGCACCCUAUUGUGUCUUUGCAGGCAGCUACCCACCAUCCAGCCGUGCUCCUUAAAGGAAAAGGAGGAGAAAGAGAAACUAAUUCCUCUGGCCAAACCCAGAAUGGUAGACUUCAUUGCCAUAAAUAAGGAGAAGCGAGAAAAGGUACCUGACACGGGCUGCUGCAGUGAGCAUGUCAUACUGGACUGUAGAAGAGCACCGCUCCAUGCAGGCCGGUUCUCAAAAGAUUCUUCCCUGUGUGUUCACGGGACCCCUGACUAGUUGCUUUGGCGCUUAGUUGAAGAGAGGCGGGUAUUGAGAAUAUACUUCUCCCUUCCGUUAGCCUCAUGAAACACACUGAAAGACCUUCCUUGUGGCUGUUUCUGUCAGUAAGGUGACUGCAAGGCUUGUCUGGGAUAGCCAGUUGCCAGGUGGUUUUUAGCCUGGUGGUCGCUUGGCUCCCUGGUCCUUACAGAUGGGCUCUUCGGUGGAGCCUGUAGACCCCUGGAGCAAGCCAGCAUGGACAGAAAGGCAGAAGAGAAGAGGCAGAAGGGAGGGCAGAAAUGAAAACAGCUCAGCCCUCUGCCUGCUGUUGCAUUUUGGUCGCCUUCCAGAAUAAACACUGGAAGAAGCAGCUUCCAGAACACAUCCAGAAACAUCUGGCUGAAGAAAAGAAGAAAGCAGAGCUGGCGGAAAAGGAAAAAAGGAAACAGCGAACUGUACCAGUGACCAAAGCCAAGGCUAAGACAAAAAUGAAGACGGAGAAGAGCCAGAAAUCCAGCUCCUCUGAGCAACCCUCAGUCAGCCCCCUGACUAGCGUGGAGAUGGAGGAGUUCACCAGCCCUGACCUCCUGGAGAUAAUGAUGAAGGAUUGCGAAGAGACUGUAGAAGAGCACCUCACUGUCCACAAGGAUGACACUGUCCCCCCUAAGCGGUAAGAGCACGCUGGCUCCAGGCAAGGCCUGGGGCAAUGGGGUGGUGGUGAGCCACCGGUGGUGGGUCAAGGAAGCCAACCCCUGAGCCACAGGGCCGCACAGAGC
rnacentral:lncRNA from 1 species